rnacentral:rRNA from 1 species
AAUGAACGUUGGCGGCGUGGAUUAGGCAUGCAAGUCGAACGAGAACCCCGCAAGGGGUGAAAGUGGCAAACGGCGUAGUAAGGCGUAGGUGACGUACCUCCCGAUUCGGGAUAGCUACGGGAAACUGUAGGUAAUACCGGAUAAUCCCUCCGAGAUUGAAAAUCGGAGUGCAAAGGUGUGAUUCCGUCAGGAGAGCGGCUUACGUGGUAUUAGCUAGUUGGUGAGGUAACGGCUCACCAAGGCUUCGAUGCCUAGGGGGUGUUAGCGCAUGACCCCCACGACUGGGACUGAGAUACUGCCCAGACACCUACGGGUGGCUGCAGUCGAGAAUCUUCGGCAAUGGGCGCAAGCCUGACCGAGCGACGCCGCGUGUGGGAUGAAGGCCCUUGGGUUGUAAACCACUGUCAGAGGGGAUGAAAUGCGGGUGGGUUCUCCCAUCCGUUUGACAUAGCCUCAGAGGAAGCACGGGCUAAGUUCGUG